CCUCAGACCUUUCCUUUACAGACCCUUCAACAUCUGAGCUAUGUUGCCUCCAUAUUUCAAUUGCCACUUUCUCACUCUUGCUCUCUGGAUCAUCAGUGUUGUGCCUGAAAUCAUUUUAUGCUUCCUAUCAUCAACUUUCAAGAACGGUUGUAGAUCCUUUGUUUGCUGAGGGUGCACGUCGUGAAUGAUGAAUCUCAUGACUAGGUGGAUCCGUGGUGAAGUGCAAGGGAUGCUUCACAUUGUUGCCUCAUAGUGAUGGGAUUCAUCUCCAGUUUUAUCUUUUCCAAAUCGACCCUAGCUCCUCCCAGAGUACCUAGUCCUUUUUGAAGGCUGAAGUAGCCUAGGCUAGCUAAAAUUUCAGUUUUUGUAGCCCGGUGACUUUUGUAAAUAUAUGUCAAGUGAUACACUAUAUGGUUUAGCCUCCUUUGCCCAUUUAUCCCUUUAAUGGAGAUGCUCGUAGAUAUGGGCUCUGAAGUUUAUCACUAUUGAUUAUAUUUCUUCUUGCUAGUUCUAAGCUUUUAAAAUGUUUAUAUUUGCAUUGUCCAUUGUUAAUUGCCUGAUCAGCCAGAUAGUCUGCCAAUUUGUUCCCUUCUCUGAAUGCGUGUUGUAUUAAAAAAUUCCUGCCUUGUAUGUUGGCUUUGAUAUUUGCUAGUAGUUCUGAUAUGGUCCAUGGACAUUCUCAUUCAUCUAUUAGAACCUUCAUUAACAAAGAAUCUGUUUGAAAAACUACCUAGUCAUAAUUUGCUUGUUUACAGUGUACCCUAGCUUUUAGCAAAGCCAUUGCUUCUGCUAAUGUAUUUGUAGUGUUUUUCAUUAUAUUAGCCUCUGCAUAAAUUUGAUCCCCUUCUUCAUUUCUCUAAUAAUAAGCAUAUGAACUUGAUCUUGGAUUUCUCUUGAUGGCCCAUCUUUGUUAUAUUUGAUCCAACCUGCUGGUGGAAAAUCCCAUAUAAUCUUAGUAAUUUUCAGCCUCGUUUUGUAUUCUUGCUGUUCUUUUAACAAUCUUGGUCACUCCCAUGAAAAGGUUCUUUUAGGUUGUCAUACUUUAAUCAACUAAUGCAUGAAAUUCAGUACAUUAUGAAUAAUUCUUUGACUAGUCAUUCUCUUUCCUUAAUGUUUGUUGUUAUUUCUUCUUCUCCAUAGCUCCCACACUAUCAAGUUUGGUAGAACCCUGUAAUAUGGCUGAAGACUAUUUUUCACCUCUGCUUCCCACCAUAGCAUUAUUACCUCUCUAAGAGAAAGGCCUUCUGAAUUCAAACCUGCAAAAGAAGAAAAAUAGGACCAUAUCCUAUUAGCUAUAUUGGAUCUCAAGAAAACAUGAUUCAUAGUCUCCUGAGAUGGAUUCUCUCAACACCAACAUUUAGAUAGUCCUUCCAUCCCCCAUCUUUUGAAUCUGUCAUCCAUAGGGAUUUUUAAUUUCCAAAGUCUCCUCAUAAGAAAUGCCACUUUGAAUAGCAAUCCCUUAACUCAUAUACACUUAUAAAUUUUGUUUUCCUUUUCCUUGUGUCUAAUGUACUGCCAAGUUGUUUUAACUGUAAAUAUUCCUUUGGUAUCCAACAUCCAGACAGGAAUAUUAUUAGUCCCUCCACUCCUUGGUGGCUAGAUAUUCUGAAUAAUGUAGCCAGACAUCUCUUAAGGAAUAAUCUGCUGCAGUCUUUCUCUGUCCCAUUCAUCAUUCUUAAUCAACUCACUGACUUUAUUAUAAUAAUGAUCCCAUUCUACAUUCUCCUCUGUGAUAGUUUAUAGAUUUCCUAUACCUGUCCAAUUAUCAUGCCAGAAUGACACAUCCCCCAAUUUAGUAUUCUAUCCAAUCUGAUGUUCUACUAAAUCCCUAGCUUGUAGCAUCUUUUUCCACACCUUUGAUCCUCCACCUACCUUCCACAUUAUAAAAUUUCAAUAUUCACUAAAAAAAAACGUGUAAAAUAGCGGGAGUUUAUUUUCGGGGGUUAUUUUAACCUCUGUAAAAUUAUAUGAAAUGCGGAGGUUAAAAAUCUGCCGUUAUUAUUUAUAAAAUUGCGGGGGUUUAAACUCCUACUAUAAAUUAUGGGGAUUUUAAACCCCCGCUAUCAAUAAAAACAAAUAGAGCUUUAUACCAUUAUACCAUUAAAACUUGUAAAAAAGAUCUCCCUCUUUUUUUUUCAAUUAGCCAAAAUUUUCCCUUAUUUUUUAAUUCCUCCAAAUAUCCCUCUCUCUCUCAUUUCCCCCAAAUCAGUUUUUCUCUCGCUUCCCACCCCCGUCCUUCCCCAAUUUGACUCUAUUUUCUCCAAAUUGACUCCGUCGGUCGGCCUUUGCUACUUCGGCCGUCCAUUGCAAUUGAGCUGAACUCCGAGAUUGAAUUGGGUUAGAGUAAUUGGUGGAUUUUUAGUUUAUAUCGGCAAUACCUCCUCCUUCUAACUCUGAUUUGUAAAAUAUAUGCUACAGUUUUCACAUUUUGCUUUGAAGAUCUUCUUGUGUUCUUAGUCUAUGAAGCUGUUCUUUGAGAAGCUAAUGCGUGUAAAGGUACUCCGAGAUACGUAUUUACAUUUGUUUAUCAUGUAGGUAGGAGUUUGAGAAGAUUGAAGAUUUUGCUUCCAGGCUACCAGUUGAGAGUUGGAACUGUUGCAAACUACAUACGAUACUUAUGUUAUAGUGGCUAAUCUUCAUAAAGAAUAUGUUUCUUCAAAACAAAAGGUCUGUGUUGGUUGUAUAUCUCCUUACAAGGCUCAAGUUUUUGCUAUUCAACAAAUUCUUGGCAAGAAAUAUAGCACUGACGUCAAGAGUGACUUCUCUGUGAAUCAGCGGAUCAGUUGGUUUUCUGUCGAAUCUUCAGAGAGCAAAUGUUGCAUUGACGCGAGCAAGGAAAUAGCUCAACGUUGGUUAACAGUGGUUCCAUAUGGAAGAAUCUAGUCGUUGAUGCUAAGGCGCGUGGUUGUUACUUUGAUGUUACUGACAACUACAGAUUGAAUCAGGCAAUUUUGAAUGCAACCAUUGAACUUGACAAG